rnacentral:rRNA from 1 species
UGGGGAAUUUUGGACCAUGGGGGAAACCCUGACCCAGCGACGCCGCGUGCGGGAGGAAGCCCUUCGGGGUGUAAACCGCUGUCAGGGGGGACGAAAGAGGGGAGAGCUAAUACCUCUUCUCAGUGACGGUACCCUCAAAGGAAGCACCGGCUAACUCUGUG